ensembl:lncRNA
UGGGAAAGCCGGGCCUGAGGCCGAGGCGGCAGCGGGGCACCUGGGGAGGCCCUUGAGGCCGUCUAAGGCCUUUGCACCCGCACUCCGGAGGCAGUCAGCCUGGGGUCCCCCGCCCCAUCCUCUAGACAGCCCCGGAAAGGAGAGGGCGAGAUGUGAAACUCAGGCGGACUGCCCUCCGCAGCCCCUGGGACCCUGACCGCCUCACCCCUGCCCGGCCGUGUCUCCCAGCACGGGGCAGCUCGCCGCCUGCAGCUCCCUGGGCUCCUGCAGCUCCCUGGGCUCCUGCAGCUCCCUGGGCUCCUGCAGCUCCCUGGGCUCGGAACACCUUUCCCUUCCCUGCCUGGGACCAGCGCUUUCCAAAAGCCCACGGAGUCACCUCCUGGAAGGCCCGCGGAUGCCCGGCCAGCAACUCUACAGGGAGACCCCCGCGCUCUCCUGAUGGCUCCACUGAUGACCUGGGCUGGAUAGCAGCCCUCGGCUGCAAGGUCUCGACCCAGCUACUUCCUGUAUCCCAGGACCCUGCAGACCCGAGAGCUCCCCACACCCCACACCAGGCACUGGCCACAGGCUCCCUGCUCCCACUCAGACGCCCUCCACCAACUCUUGCCCCGUCAGAUAAGAUAUGGGACAUUCAGUUACACAUGAAUAUGUCACAGAACCAACAGAUAAUGUUUUCUAGAGGCAGGCCCUGUUAUUAUCCCUGCAUCAUCAAUGAGGAAACUGAGGCAGAAAGAUGCAGUCACUUGCUCGAGGUCACAUGCCCACCGUGUCAACCAUCACAGCUGAUGUGCAACACAUGCAUCGAGGAGUGGCCGGCACCUCCGGGGUCACGGGUCAAGAUGGUCUAUGAAGAGACAGCCGUUGGCAGAAUGGGCCAGAGAAUCCGGAAACAGCACCGACUGGCCCUGCCUGGGGGAGUUCGGCGUCUCCAAACCCUGGGCCCAGUUCACUGCCACCGAGUGGCUGCACCCCUGGGGGCAGCUACACAGAACCCCUUCCGAGUAUGCCGAGCGAUGUACGUGAGAUUGUUCAUGGUGGCCCCUUCUCUUCUCCUUGCCUGAUGUACUGGGGCCCAUCUCAAUGUCACCCAUCGAUAGAGAACUAGUUCAGGUAACUGAGGCAAUUGCCAAGUGACAAACAGACCCCUCUGUCGUGUGCUUUGAAAAGGGGCGCAAAGGGUGGACAGAAUGAGAUGGUAAAAGACAUCAUCACGCUGCCCAGGAUGCCAUGCAAUUUAAAACAUGAAUUUUCUAUUUCUGGGAUUUCACAUUUAGUAUUUUCAGACCCCAUUUGACCCCGGGUAACUGAAACUAUGGACCACAAAACCACAGAUGGGGGGGCGCAGGGGACUCCUGUACAUUGUUUCAUGAAAGGUAAAGACGCAGCAGGACAGGACGCGGGGCGCACGCCUGCGAUCCAGCACUCGGGAGGCUGAGGCAGCAGGAGCACAAGUUCCAGCCCAACCCAGGCAACAGCAACUUAGUGAGACCCUGUCUUACAAUGAAAGGCGGGGAGGGGCUGGGGACGUGCCUCAGCGUGAAGGACAUGUGUUCAAUCCCCAACACUCUUUACAAAUUUUAAGAAAGCAAACUACUAGCAUUUGUGUACAAAACAGCUGCAGCGACUACGGGAGUACGUUUGCUUCUAGACUCGUGAGAACCCUGGGUAACCAGAGACACCAGGGUGCCGUGGACAGGGACUUGAUGGCCAGGGACCGGGUGGGAGGUUUUCUGUGUCCGGAGGUUUGUUCCAGGGCCUCUCCAUACCAAGUCCUUUAAUGAAAUGGCUGUGUAUUUGCCCAUACGCGCACGCAUCCUCCCAUGAGGCGGAGCAACUUUGAGUCAUUUCCAGAUGACUUACAGUGCCUCAGACAAGGCAAGUGCUAAGUACUUGUUACUCAGUAUUGACACAGGAAAGCGACUGGAUGUGCUCAGAACAGACGAAAAAAAUUCGUUCAGGAUUUUCAACCACAGAUGCAGAGCCCAGGAGUGGGACGGCAGCUGUACCACCCUGCAACGCCUUUGGGGUCUUGAAUCACAGCAGCGGACUCUUUUUUCUUUUCUUUGAAAAUUUUGUUAUUCUAUGUACUGACCAUUUAAAACACAUUUAAUUUUUAAUUUUAGAACUUUGCAAAUAGCCAGGCACUGUGGCACUUGUC